rnacentral:rRNA from 1 species
UGAGGAAUAUUGGUCAAUGGGCGCAAGCCUGAACCAGCCAUCCCGCGUGCAGGAAGACGGCCCUAUGGGUUGUAAACUGCUUUUCCAGGGGGAGAAUUUUUCUGUCGUGACAGGAAUUGACGGUACCCUGGGAAUAAGCAUCGGCUAACUCCGUGCCAGCAGCCGCGGUAAUACGGAGGAUGCGAGCGUUAUCCGGAUUUAUUGGGUUUAAAGGGUGCGUAGGCGGAUUGAUAAGUCAGUGGUGAAAUCCUGCAGCUUAACUGCAGAACUGCCAUUGAUACUGAUAGUCUUGAGUUUGGUUAAGGUAGGCGGAAUGUGUAAUGUAGCGGUGAAAUGCUUAGAUAUUACACAGAACACCAAUUGCGUAGGCAGCUUACUGAGCCGACACUGACGCUGAGGCACGAAAGCGUGGGGAUCGAACAG